AUACGGAAGGCAGCAGUGAGGAAUAUUGGUCAAUGGACGCAAGUCUGAACCAGCCAUGCCGCGUGCAGGAUGACGGUCCUAUGGAUUGUAAACUGCUUUUGUACAGGAAGAAACAACUCUACGUGUAGAGUCUUGACGGUACUGUAAGAAUAAGGAUCGGCUAACUCCGUGCCAGCAGCCGCGGUAAUACGGAGGAUCCAAGCGUUAUCCGGAAUCAUUGGGUUUAAAGGGUCCGUAGGCGGUUUAGUAAGUCAGUGGUGAAAGCCCAUCGCUCAACGGUGGAACGGCCAUUGAUACUGCUAGACUUGAAUUAUUAGGAAGUAACUAGAAUAUGUAGUGUAGCGGUGAAAUGCUUAGAGAUUACAUGGAAUACCAAUUGCGAAGGCAGGUUACUACUAAUUGAUUGACGCUGAUGGACGAAAGCGUGGGUAGCGAACAGGAUUAGAUACCCGUGUAGUCCU
rnacentral:rRNA from 1 species